AGUUAAUGAACUUGUAUAGUGUAUAUUUUGAAAAUAUAAAAAAAGGGUUUUUCCUUAUUAACUU
rnacentral:tRNA from 1 species